GUGGGGAAUAUUGGACAAUGGGCGCAAGCCUGAUCCAGCCAUGCCGCGUGAGUGAUGAAGGCCUUAGGGUUGUAAAGCUCUUUUGUCCGGGAAGAUAAUGACUGUACCGGAAGAAUAAGCCCCGGCUAACUUCGUGCCAGCAGCCGCGGUAAUACGAAGGGGGCUAGCGUUGUUCGGAAUCACUGGGCGUAAAGCGCACGUAGGCGGACCAUUAAGUCAGGGGUGAACGCCUGGAGCUCAACUCCAGAACUGCCUUUGAUACUGAUGGUCUCGAGUAUGGAAGAGGUUGGUGGAACUGCGAGUGUAGAGGUGAAAUUCGUAGAUAUUCGCAAGAACACCGGUGGCGAAGGCGGCCAACUGGUCCAUUACUGACGCUGAGGUGCGAAAGCGUGGGGAGCAAACAGGAUUAGAAACCCGAGUAGUCC
rnacentral:rRNA from 1 species